GUGGGGAAUAUUGGACAAUGGGGGCAACCCUGAUCCAGCCAUUCCGCGUGAGUGAAGAAGGCCUUCGGGUUGUAAAGCUCUUUCGGCAGGAACGAAACGGUGAGCUCUAACAUAGCUCGCUAAUGACGGUACCUGAAGAAGAAGCACCGGCUAACUACGUGCCAGCAGCCGCGGUAAUACGUAGGGUGCGAGCGUUAAUCGGAAUUAUUGGGCGGAAAGCGUGCGCAGGCGGUUGUGUAAGACAGGUGUGAAAUCCCCGGGCUUAACCUGGGAACUGCGCUUGUAACUGCACGGCUAGAGUAUGGCAGAGGGGGGUGGAAUUCCACGUGUAGCAGUGAAAUGCGUAGAGAUGUGGAGGAACACCGAUGGCGAAGGCAGCCCCCUGGGCCAAUACUGACGCUCAUGCACGAAAGCGUGGGGAGCAAACAGGAUUAGAUACCCUGGUAGUCC
rnacentral:rRNA from 1 species